UACGAAGGGGGCUAGCGUUGCUCGGAAUCACUGGGCGUAAAGGGCGCGUAGGCGGCCAUUCAAGUCGGGGGUGAAAGCCUGUGGCUCAACCACAGAAUUGCCUUCGAUACUGUUUGGCUUGAGUUUGGUAGAGGUUGGUGGAACUGCGAGUGUAGAGGUGAAAUUCGUAGAUAUUCGCAAGAACACCAGUGGCGAAGGCGGCCAACUGGACCAACACUGACGCUGAGGCGGCGAAAGCGUGGGGAGCAAACAGG
rnacentral:rRNA from 1 species